rnacentral:rRNA from 1 species
UACGGAGGGGCUAGCGUUGUUCGGAAUUACUGGGCGUAAAGCGCGCGUAGGCGGACCUGCAAGUCGGGGGUGAAAGCCCGAGGCUCAACCUCGGAACUGCCUUCGAUACUGCGGGUCUCGAGUCCGGGAGAGGUGAGUGGAAUUCCUAGUGUAGAGGUGAAAUUCGUAGAUAUUAGGAAGAACACCAGUGGCGAAGGCGG